AACGAACGCUGGCGGCAGGCUUAACACAUGCAAGUCGAACGGGUGCAGCAAUGCAUCAGUGGCAGACGGGUGAGUAACACGUGGGAACCUUCCUAGGGGUACGGAACAACUCAGGGAAACUUGAGCUAAUACCGUAUACGUCCGUGAGGAGAAAGAUUUAUCGCCCUUAGACGGGCCCGCGUCGGAUUAGCUAGUUGGUGGGGUAACGGCCUACCAAGGCGACGAUCCGUAGCUGAUCUUGGAGGAUGAUCAGCCACACUGGGACUGAGACACGGCCCAGACUCCUACGGGAGGCAGCAGUGGGGAAUCUUGGACAAUGGGCGCAAGCCUGAUCCAGCCAUGCCGCGUGAGUGAAGAAGGUCUUCGGAUUGUAAAGCUCAUUUGCCAGGGAUGAUAAUGACGGUACCUGGAGAAUAAGCCCCGGCAAACUUCGUGCCAGCCGCCGCCGUAA
rnacentral:rRNA from 1 species